rnacentral:rRNA from 1 species
CACGUAGGGUGCAAGCGUUGUCCGGAAUCAUUGGGCGUAAAGAGCUCGUAGGCGGCUUAGUAAGUCGGGUGUGAAAACCCCAGGCUCAACCUGGGGACGCCACCCGAUACUGCUAUAGCUAGAGUCCAGUAGGGGAGUGUGGAAUUCCCAGUGUAGCGGUGAAAUGCGCAGAUAUCGGAAGAACACCAGUGGCGAAGGCGACUCACUGGACACAUAUUGACGCUGAGGUGCGAAAGCGUGGGA